GAUGAACGUGUUUUAACACUUUAUGGUUAACACUCAUUGAAAUACUCUGAAAUUCUAAAUUUCAGCCUUAGUGUGUUAUUGGACAUCGUCAUCUACCUCCUGGUCGGUUGCCGUGACAACAGUCUCCCUUUUCUUGCCAUAAAGCAUCUGAGCAGCACUAGCUAAAAAGUAAACACAUGCAAUAAAACAACUGUUAUAAGGUCAUAAACU